rnacentral:lncRNA from 1 species
CCCACAUGGAUCCGGCCCACGCGAAUUGGGUUGGUGGGCGGUACCCUUGUGGGCCUAUAAUGCAUGCUCCUCCCCCAUAUGUUGAGCAUCAGAAGGCUGUCACAAUCAGAAAUGAUGUUAACCUAAAAAAGGAAACUUUGAGGGUUGAGCCGGAUGAGGAGAACCCUGGGAAGUUUCUCGUGACAUUUACUUUUGAUGCCACGGUUGCCGGAAGGUACUAUAAUAUGAGUAUUAUUUGAUAUGUGAAUGAGUUGGAUGCUGCCGUUAUUAUCCAAUAAUUUUAAUUUAGUUCUACUGAUGACACAGUGUGGAUUGAUUGACAUUUGAGUUGGACAUCUUUGCAUGAUUUGUUUGUUUCUUGGUUUUUGAUUUUUAAAUAGAAUUUGAAACAUAUUUAUCUUGUUAGGUAUGAAUAUAAUUUUUUGCUCAUAGAAGGUAUUAACAAAGUAAUUUUUUUCGCUUAUUAUCACUUAAUCUACUUAAAUGUUCUGGCAAAUUCAAGUGUUUUUCUCCAAUGAAAAACAAAUUCAAGUGUUUUUUUGCUCAAGUGCUUCCUUUCCAAGGGUGGAGAUUUCAUUCCACUUUUAUUUCGGUAGAUAAUCAGCUGGGUCCCUUUUUUUCUUCCUUUUUUUAUUUGCUUGCUUACAACUUUCUAUGCAUUAUUGAAUGUGGAAUGAAUAUCAUUCCACAGGUUCUUGAAUGCACUUGUUGAUAUUUUAUGAUUCAAGAAUUCUUUUGUGCAGGCAUGGCUUGUAUAAAAAUAACUUCCUUUGAGUAUUAGUUGCUUUCCUACUAAUGUCUCAUAACUUCAUUUUAAACCCUCAAUCAAGAGAAUAUAGGUCUCUGCCUCAAGUUUUUGUGUUGGGUUUGUUAGGCUUGGGAUGGCCGUUAGUACUCCAUCCUCAGCCUCACAUGUAUGUUAAAAAACUAAUAGUGAAAUUUGUAUUGUUUAUGGAAACUCUGUAUUCUCUAUCUCUGUCUUCCCACCCCCACCCCCUCCCCCUCCCCAACCCAAAAAAAAACCCACCAAAAAAGAGACGUUGGGGUGGGGUGGCUGUCAUUUUGAUCUGUUCCUAUCAGUUGGAUUGGCUUGUUACAUCUGGAUUUAGUGCAGGCUUAAGUUUGAGGUUCAUCCAUUGCACUGUUUAAAUAUAUCAUGUGUAUUAAUGUCAUUUAUUUUUUGCUGUGUUUAAUUAAUGCAUUAAUGAAUGCAUUAAUUGGUUAGCUUAAGGGGCUGAGAGCGGUCUUGGGUGAAAUUUCAAUAACCAAUUCAGCUUUUGUUUGACAAUACUCUUGUAGAAAUUAUUUAACUUUUGGAACUUGAAGCGUGAAAGAUUUAGAAAACGAUUAUUCAAUUUGUAUUCCCUUUGCCAUAUUAUUUAUUUAGGAUUUUUUUUUAUAUCCUGAUUAGCUGGGCCUCAAUUUACUUCUUUAAGUUCAAUUUAUAUGUUUGUGUUUGUGCUUGUGCUUGUGCUAGUGCUAUAAGUUGCUUUAGUACUCUAUUUACAAAAAAAAAUUGAGGCUUUACCUUGUUUGUGGUUUGCUUAUAUAGAAUAGGUUUAGUUUGCUAAUUUUUGUUUGUUCACUGCUAUUUUCCUUUUGCUAAAGUGAUUUAAGGUUUAAUUGUCUUCCAUUUUUUUAACUCCAUACAGCAUUACGGUUAUUUUCUUUGCGAAAGAGGGUGAAGAUUGUAACCUGACUCCAAUGAAGGAAAGUAAAUUUGCACCAGUAACAGUACAUUUUGAACAAGGUUUGGGCCAGAAAUUCAGACAACCCUCAGGAAUUGGGAUAGACUUUUCAACGUGUGAAGAGGCAGAAUUACUUAAAGAGGGUGAUAUGGAUGUGUAUCCCCUAGCAAUAAAGGCUGAGGCAUCCCCAAGCAAUCAAGGUGGAUCAGCAGAUGAAAACCCAGAGUCUGGAGCCAGUAACUCCCAGAUCACUCAAGCGGUAUUCGAGAAGGAGAGGGGUGAAUACCAGGUGAGAGUAGUGAAGCAGAUCUUAUGGGUGAGUGGGAUGAGGUAUGAGCUACAGGAGAUAUAUGGCAUUGGCAAUUCAGUUGAUGGUGAUUUUGAUGCAAAUGAUCCUGGAAAGGAAUGUGUCAUCUGCUUGUCCGAACCUCGUGACACAACUGUCCUUCCGUGCAGACACAUGGUACUCUCUCACUCUCUCUCUUAUUUGAGACUCAGAGAUAUUUGUCAAAGUGAAUCUGUCUACUACCUAGGAUUUUAUCUUUUUAAUCACGUCAAAGAAAUGAAAUUAUAAAAACAAAAAAACUUGACCCAGGAUGAAAUCUUGUCUAAUACUAUUUAUCGGUUAGAAGCUGUUACAGUUAUGGAAGAAAGGGUUAAUAGAGAAUGUAGUCCGUAAUUGCAGUUCCUUCCUGAAGUGUCAAUAACAUAUUAUUAUGAAUAGGUGCUUUAAUUAGUAUUCGGUUCAGUGAAUCUAUUAUGUCGACUCACAUUGGUUUCAUGGCUCGAUUGAUGUGGCUGUAAUGAGCUUCAACAUCUUGCAUGCAGCCUGUUUAACUUCAAGUCUCGCAAGCUAAUGUUCAUCUGAGAUUUGAUUCCCCAUAUUGUCCAUUGAUUUUUUUUGGGUGCAGUGUAUGUGCAGUGGGUGUGCAAAAGUUCUGAGGUUCCAAACAAACAGGUGUCCUAUAUGCAGACAGCCAGUUGAGAGGCUUUUGGAGAUCAAGGUCAACAAUGGAACUGAAGACUGAAGAGUGGAUGAGUUUAUGCUAUUAUGACAUUGCUGUAAAGUUCUUUGUUUUCUGCCUGCUUUCCUAUCUUCUUUUAUUUUUAUUACUUCUUUCUUUCUUUAUUUCUUUCUUUCUUUCUUUCUUUCCCUCUUUUAACCAUUUUACUUGUUCUAGUUUACAAUAAUCAAACUAGAAUCUCAUCAGUUUGCAGUUUGGCUUGAACAUAAUGCUAUCUUUGCUAAAGUUUAUAGCAAAAGAUGUUGUAAAGCUAAUGGCUUUUACAUGAUUGUGCUGACUACUUGGUGGCAUUCUCCAUGUGUUAUCCUAUAUAAGAAUUAUAGUAUGUUUGGUUUGCAUCCGAGUUGCUUUGUGCAUUUCCCUUAUAUAAUUUGUCAUGGGAGUCUUACUAUGUUGCAGUCAUUGUUUUAAAGUCUUUUUUCUCUUAACUGGACUGGAUCAGAAUGAUCUUGAUUGGCCGGCUUUCCCUGAGGUGAGGAGAAUGGCUUGAUGGUUUUAGAUUNNNNNNNNNNNNNNNNNNNNNNNNNNNNNNNNNNNNNNNNNNNNNNNNNNNNNNNNNNNNNNNNNNNNNNNNNNNNNNNNNNNNNNNNNNNNNNNNNNNNGCCAGCUCCUUAUGAUCACCACCACCGUCCGCCACCACCCCACAUGGAUCCGGCCCACGCGAAUUGGGUUGGUGGGCGGUACCCUUGUGGGCCUAUAAUGCAUGCUCCUCCCCCAUAUGUUGAGCAUCAGAAGGCUGUCACAAUCAGAAAUGAUGUUAACCUAAAAAAGGAAACUUUGAGGGUUGAGCCGGAUGAGGAGAACCCUGGGAAGUUUCUCGUGACAUUUACUUUUGAUGCCACGGUUGCCGGAAGGUACUAUAAUAUGAGUAUUAUUUGAUAUGUGAAUGAGUUGGAUGCUGCCGUUAUUAUCCAAUAAUUUUAAUUUAGUUCUACUGAUGACACAGUGUGGAUUGAUUGACAUUUGAG